rnacentral:rRNA from 1 species
AGUGAACGCUGACGGUAGGCCUAACACAUGCAAGUCGAACGGCAGCACAGGAGAGCUUGCUCUCUGGGUGGCGAGUGGCGGACGGGUGAGGAAUACAUCGGAAUCUACUCUGUCGUGGGGGAUAACGUAGGGAAACUUACGCUAAUACCGCAUACGACCUACGGGUGAAAGCAGGGGACCUUCGGGCCUUGCGCGAUUGAAUGAGCCGAUGUCGGAUUAGCUAGUUGGCGGGGUAAAGGCCCACCAAGGCGACGAUCCGUAGCUGGUCUGAGAGGAUGAUCAGCCACACUGGAACUGAGACACGGUCCAGACUCCUACGGGAGGCAGCAGUGGGGAAUAUUGGACAAUGGGCGCAAGCCUGAUCCAGCCAUACCGCGUGGGUGAAGAAGGCCUUCGGGUUGUAAAGCCCUUUUGUUGGGAAAGAAAUCCAGCUGACUAAUACCCGGUUGGGAUGACGGUACCCAAAGAAUAAGCACCGGCUAACUUCGUGCCAGCAGCCGCGGUAA